GACAGAGGUGCCAAGCGUUAGGCGGAAUCACUGGGCUUAAAGCGUGUGUAGGCGGGCGAUCAAGUACCUUGUGAAAGCCCCCGGCUCAACCGGGGAACGGGCGCCGAUACGACCGGCCUGGAGGGACGUAGGGGGACCUGGAACUUCCGGUGGAGCGGUGAAAUGCGUUGAGAUCGGAAGGAACGCCCGUGGCGAAAGCGAGGUCCUGGACGCUUUCUGACGCUGAGACGCGAAAGCCAGGGGAGCGAACGGG
rnacentral:rRNA from 1 species